CUGGGGAAUAGCCAGUGGCCCACCUGCAGCCUCAUCUUGGGUGACACUCUCACCAUGGCCCACAGGCUGCUCCAGGAGCCUGUCACAGCAGAGCAAGGUCCAGCUGGAUUCAAUUCCCCUCUCCACCUGGGAACCCAAAACAGGCUUCAGGGUCCCCCCAGACUCAACCGCCCACAGCAAGUCAACGAGGCACACAGGAGGCAAGACUCGCAUGGGGGAUGGGUGAUGUCUGGGCUCCCUUCCCCCACACCCUCGCUUCUCACGUUGACCAUCGCCGUGACUCUGAGUUCUCAGUUGGAACCCCAGGGGCACAGUCUGAACACAGACCCUGGACUGGCUGCUCCUGCAGGACGUCUGCUGAGCCCAGAAGGAAUCACAGCACACGACGCAUCCACAAAGCCCCAGGUGCCCCGGGAGAUCAGCGGGACUUCAGAGACAAGCAGGGGCCUCAGUGUCCACCUGACUUCUCCCUAGGCAGCCUCCACUGUCCUCAUCCCGGCUCCAAGCACACGCUUUCCCGUGACAAGGAGGAACCACAGUGCCUGGAGCCCAGCUGGGUAAGGGCCCUAACCCGGCUAGCCUGGACGCCACACGCGGGAGGUGGCAGAGCCUACUGCCACCCGUGGAGAACAUCGCGCAGUCCCCUAAAUUCCAGGGAGGAAGACUCUCGGAAGGCCCACAGCCUCAACUCCUCCCUGCAAAGCCCGAGUGCAGAGCCCGGCCUGCCCCUGCCCCUGCCGACCGGCCGGGCCACCGUCUCAGCCCCCAAGCCCGCUGUAGGCACCAUCAAAGCUGCACGGCCGCAGCUCCAAGGAAGCCUUCGUCUGUUUACUUGGUCGAUGAACGCAGGGCACAGGCAGUCAUUCUGGGGAACGCAGCUUCCGAAACAUCGAGGAGUGAAGUGGUCCAAGAGAAAAACAGGACCCGGUCCCAGCUGAUGAGUGCAUGUGGGUGCGAUGCUCUUGCAGGAGCAGUGAGGGUCUGGAGUCACCCAGGGUGACUCACCGCUAGGACGGGGCACCUUGGCUUCACAUCUUCCCGGAGGCCAAAAGGCCACUCCAUGUGGGGCCUCGAUGGGACAGGUGGCUCUUGUGAGGGAAGGAGAAGGUAGAGGGAGAGGCCCGGGGGAGUCUCAUCCAGCCAGGAACCUCUGGAACUUCUAGAAAACGCCACUCCAAGAGACAGAUGCAGGAAUCUCCCUAAAGAGAAACCCAGGGGUUUCUGCAGGUGACAGAAUUCCCCAGAGAGGGAGGCAGGAUCUUAGGCAUUGGAGGACGGCUGGCACCUGCUCUGCCUUAGGACUGCGCCCACACUGUGCCCAACAGGCAGAUCCCAGCCUGAUGCCCUGACGCUGACUCCAGGCUGCCAGGGAGGGAGAAGCUAAGGAUGUCAGCCUCUCUUCCCUCGGCGUCCUGAGCAUGACGUCUGUCAGGCUGUCUGGCUAGUCACCAUCAGACUUAGGUGCCAGAGCCUUGGGAACCUCUGGGACCUGACCCAGACCUGUGCCUAGCCUGGGGUCAAGUUCUACCCUCGGCAUAGUUUUUUUGGGUUUUUGUUUGUUUGUUUGUUUGUUUGUUUGUUUUCAUUUUUGUUUCAGAGAUAGAGUCUCGCCUCUGUCCCCAGACUGGAGUGCAGUGACGCAAUCACAGCUCACUGCAAUCUCGACUUCCUAGGUUCAAGCCAUCCUCCUGCCUCAGCCACUGGAAUAGCUGGGACCACAGGCAAGUGCCACCACGUCCAGUUAAACUGUUUUCUUUCUUUCUUUUUUUUUUUUUUUUUUUGGAGAGACGGGAUCUCAUUCUGUUGCCCCCUCCCAUUCUUUUUUUUCUUUUAUUUCAGGGUCUCAGUCUGCCACCCUGGAGACACACAGUGAGCUCUGAUUGCAGCAUUAUAACACUAGAGUGCAGUGUUGCAAUCACAGCCCACUGGAACCUCAAACUCCCGAGUCCAAGCCAUCCUCCCACCUCAGCUGGGACCACAGGUGCAUGCCACCAUGCCCAGAUUUUUUUUUUUUAUUUUUGGUAGACACGGGGGUCUCACCAUGUUGCCCAGGCUAGUCUUGAACUUCUGGGCUCAAGCAGUCCUCCCACUUCGGGCUCCCAAAAGGCUGGGAUUAUAGACAUGAGCCUCCGCGCCCAGCCCGCUCCUGUGUUUUCACAGCGCAGUUCCUCUCACCCACUCCCAAGAGGCUGAUCAAGGCUUUGGCUGAGACUGGAGAAAGGAGACAUGGAAUGAGGGAAUGGAGCCAUGUGGCUGCCACUGCACUGAGCUCGAGGUCCCUGUGUCUCAAUAACUGCAAACACCGGCUCCAGUUGCCUUCAGUAUCCCCAAGUAGCUGCUUGUUCCAGCUCCCACACCACUGACUUCUCCGGAGAGUGUUUUUAAGAAAGCCUUUGCAGACUUUUCGAGACCAAGGAAUCUUCCCACAUGUAGCCCCAAAUCCCUUUUCUGGGUUUGUACAAAACUUCUAAGGUGUCGAAGCCCCAUGGCAGCUUCAGGGAGUGUUUUGAAGUCUCUUCCCGGGAAGCCCCUGUCCUGAAGGACCGGUUCAGUUUCCUGCCUCCCCCUGCUUAAGAGAGAAUCUCUAAGCACCCUCUUCUCCUUCCUCCUAGGCAGCCAGAGCCCAGGAGAGUUCCUGAGAUGAUGCAAUAUUGAUAAAGGCCAUUGUGCCGUGAGGUUCAGACAGAGACACCAGCCGGCGCAUCUGGGGUGCUGCUGCUUGGUGAAAACGGAGCUUUCAGCGCCCCACACACCCUGGCCGAGAGCGUGGCACAGGGGUGCCAAGAUUCCUCUUUGAGCCAGGCUUGAUCUGUUUUUUUUCCAGGGGUUGCAGCCUGCCCGGGGCCCAGAAAGCUAAGUCAAGCCCCAC
ensembl:lncRNA